AAUAUAGUAAUAUAGUACUGUAUAACCUCAAGGAUACGGCUUGAGGGUCUCUACCAGGAACCUUAAAAUCCUGAUUACAGAAAAUGAUUAA
rnacentral:ncRNA from 1 species